CAGAGAAGCCGUUCGACCUUAAGAAAGUCUGAUCUCUGCUGACCUCGGAAUCAAAGCAAAGCUGGACCUGGUUAAUACUUAGACGGGAGACCAUUGGGAAUACCAGAUGCUAUAGUGU
rnacentral:rRNA from 1 species